CUGCCCAGUGAUUAAGUUUUAACGGCCGCGGUAUCCUAACCGUGCAAAGGUAGCAUAAUCACUUGCCUAUUAAUUGUAGGCUAGAAUGAACGGAUAAACGUAAUAAAAACUGUCUCUCCCAUUGAGCUAUAAAUUAACAUUUGUACGAAGAGUGACAAAUACAAUCGAAGGACAAGAAGACCCUAUAGAGCUUUAUUUUAAGUAUUGGUAAUACCAUAUAAAAAUUCGGUUGGGGCGACCAAGGGAAUACCUAACACCCUGUGAUAUAAAGAUAUAUAAAUCUAGUAAUUGACCCUAAUAAGAUCAUAAGAACAAGCUACCUUAGGGAUAACAGGCUAAUUCUAUUAAAGAGUUCAUAUCUACAAUAGAGUUUGGCACCUCGAUGUAUGGCUUAGGGUAUCACCUUAGCGCAAAA
rnacentral:rRNA from 1 species